GUGCUCGCUUCGGCAGCACAUAUACUAAAAUGGGAAAGAUACAGAGAUUAGCAUGGCCCCUGCGCAAGGAUGACACGCAAAUUCAUGAAGCGUUCCAUAAAAAA
rnacentral:snRNA from 1 species